GACGAACGCUGGCGGCGUGCUUAACACAUGCAAGUCGAACGGAAAGGCCCUGCUUUUGUGGGGUGCUCGAGUGGCGAACGGGUGAGUAACCCGUGAGUAACCUGCCCUUGACUUUGGGAUAACUUCAGGAAACUGGGGCUAAUACCGGAUAGGAGCUCCUGCUGCAUGGUGGGGGUUGGAAAGUUUCGGCGGUUGGGGAUGGACUCGCGGCUUAUCAGCUUGGUGGUGGGGUAGUGGCUUACCAAGGCUUUGACGGGUAGCCGGCCUGAGAGGGUGACCGGCCACAUUGGGACUGAGAUACGACCCAGACUCCUACGGGAGGCAGCAGUGGGGAAUAUUGCACAAUGGGCGGAAGCCUGAUGCAGCAACGCCGCGUGCGGGAUGACGGCCUUCGGGUUGUAAACCGCUGUCGCCUGUGACGAAGCGUGAGUGACGGUAAUGGGUAAAGAAGCACCGGCUAACUACGUG
rnacentral:rRNA from 1 species